AGAGUUUGAUCCUGGCUCAGAACGAACGCUGGCGGCAGGCUUAACACAUGCAAGACGAGCGCCCCGCAAGGGGAGCGGCAGACGGGUGAGUAACGCGUGGGAAUCUACCGUGCCCUACGGAAUAGCUCCGGGAAACUGGAAUUAAUACCGUAUACGCCCUUCGGGGGAAAGAUUUAUCGGGGUAUGAUGAGCCCGCGUUGGAUUAGCUAGUUGGUGGGGUAAAGGCCUACCAAGGCGACGAUCCAUAGCUGGUCUGAGAGGAUGAUCAGCCACAUUGGGACUGAGACACGGCCCAAACUCCUACGGGAGGCAGCAGUGGGGAAUAUUGGACAAUGGGCGCAAGCCUGAUCCAGCCAUGCCGCGUGAGUGAUGAAGGCCC
rnacentral:rRNA from 1 species